UCUCAGCUUAGAAUUCUUGAAUAAAAAAGUUAUCAUGUCACAUUUGCUGCGUACAGCUGUAGUACGUACGUGAAGAACAUGUGAAUUGAGAUAGGAAAAUAUCUCGUCAACGUCGUUAUGCUUGUUCGCUUGGCUUCUAUUAUAUUACUCCAAAACGAACUACUUGUUCAUGCAGCUGGUACCGGCAAUAAUAGGUGGCUUGCCAUCUGCCAACCACUCGCUGCUGCUGCUGAAUACAUGAAUGGCAUAUAGGAACAAUAAAUAUGAGAUAUACUUUUUUAUAAUAUACUUGUUAAGCAAUAUGAUAUUAAUAUUCUUUAUCGAUCUAUUUAGUUAGAUAUUAGUCAUUGCAAGAAGAAUGUACCUUGCAUUCAUGAUUCAGGGUGACCGAGAGAGAGGGGUAUUACUAGUAGGAAUGCAAUCAAUAAGUGCUGGACUAUACAGAACAUGUUAUAUUAUACUAAUGUUGACGAGUUAUUAGUCGAGUCAAGCUAUACAAAUGCAAUUCUCUUAUUUAUCUAUAAAAAAGCCUUUUUCUUUUCUUUUCUUUUCUUAUGUUUCUUUAACCUAUGGUCUACCUUUUGUUUGGUAAAUAGUGCCCACUGAUGACUCUGCUCUGCUGCUGAGCUCUUCCUCCUGCCCCUGCCCCUGCCCCUCCCCCCUCCUAGUGCUAUGUAUAAAGGAAGCAAAGCAAUCCAUGGAGACCCAACCAUCAAUCCCAUUUCCCUCCCAUCUAGGCAGUCAGCAGGCAGUAGGCAGUAGGCUGCAUCUCAAUCUCCAUCUACACGACUGCACUCCUGCUCCUACUCCUACAGGAAACACACAAGAAAAGAAAAGAAAAGAUGAUGGAGGUGGAGAGGCCGAUGUGGGAGCUCAAGGAGGAGGAGGAGGAGCCGCCGCAGCUGCUCAUGGAGGCCGAGGAGGAUGACUAUGAGGAGGAGGAAGACACCUCCGCCCUCCUAUACACUAGGGAGAGAGAGAGCAUGAGGAAGAAGAUGACGACAACGAUGGCGGACCUGGACCUGGAGAUGGAGUCCUCCGACUCCGACUCCAACGCAGCAGCAUCAGCAGCAGUAGAGGAGGAGGCGGCGGCGGCGGCCCAGCAGAGCAUCUUCUUGGAUCCAACACAAGGUAUGGUCUGCUCACUCACAGUACUCUCUAUCCAUAAUCCAUCCCUUCAUUUGUCCUCUCAGUUGUUACUUGCAGUCUCUGCCCAUGUCCUCUCCUCUUGUUUCCUUUCUUUCUGCCCUGACUCCUGUGGGGAAUAGGGAUCUGGUGCCUAUUUCCAUCCAAUUCCAUUCCUGUACUCGUCGUACCUCUGCUGCAGCUGCAUUAUUGACUCGUUUUCACCACUUUCUGCUGCUUCGGCCUUACAAAGUGAGCAACUAGCUAGCUCCUUGAAUUUAUCUGAUCUGACGAUGAGGCAGGCAACCACUACUAUUCACUGUCACUAUCCCUUGUGGACUUUGUGGCUCCCCAUCAAAUCGAAGAAAGUACUGCACACGGAUUAGAUUCUGGACCACGGCCCUUUGGCUUCAUCUGUCUCCCCACGUCUGACAACUACUCCUGUCCCUAACCUCCUCAUCUCAUCAUCAGAAUUCCUGUCCACACCUUCCAUUUCGUCGCAUUGCCUUGCCUGCACCUACCUCCUCCUGUGCUUCCAAUCCAACGACUAGCCCACAUGGCACUUUCGAUGUAUCUUUUUUUUAUAUAUCAUUAAAAAAAGAUAGGAUUUUUUACCUUGGACCAAAACCUCCUUCCUUCCUUCCUUAGUUAUACUAGCUAGCUAGCUAGUUCCAGUGCUACUUAGUUAGUUGCAGAUAAAUUCUUCUACUCACACUACGUGCGAGGUUAGACAGUAAAGUUACCUUCCCAUUUCUUGACUGAAGGUCUAUGGAAG
rnacentral:lncRNA from 1 species